UACGGGGGGAGCAAGCGUUGUUCGGAUUUACUGGGCGUAAAGGGCGCGUAGGCGGUCGUGACAAGUCACUUGUGAAAUCUCCGGGCUUAACUCGGAACGGUCAAGUGAUACUGUCGGACUAGAGUACAGAAGGGGGCAACUGGAAUUCUCGGUGUAGCGGUGAAAUGCGUAGAUAUCGAGAGGAACACCUGCGGCGAAGGCGGGUUGCUGGGCUGAUACUGACGCUGAGGAGCGAAAGCGUGGGGGAGCGAACAGG
rnacentral:rRNA from 1 species